UCGAACGAUGAAACUUAGCUGAUUUCUUCGGAAUGAAAUUAAGUGGAUUACCUCGUCGAACGGGUGAGUAACACGUGAGUAACCUGCCUUACACAAGGGGAUAGCCUUUGGAAACGAAGAAUAAUACCCUAUAACGUCAAUCUAUCGCAUGAUAGAAUGACCAAAGAUUUAUCGGUGUAAGAUGGACUUGCGUCUGAUUAGCUAGUUGGUGAGAUAAAAGCCCACCAAGGCGACGAUCAGUAGCCGGCUUGAGAGAGUGUACGGCCACAUUGGGACUGAGACACGGCCCAAACUCCUACGGGAGGCAGCAGUGGGGAAUUUUGCACAAUGGGGGAAACCCUGAUGCAGCGACGCCGCGUGAUUUAGAAGGCUUUCGGGUUGUAAAAAUCUUUUUUAUGGGAUGAAAAUGACAGUACCAUAAGAAUAAGGUCCGGCUAAAUACGUGCCAGCAGCCGCGGUAAUACGUAUGGACCGAGCGUUGUCCGGAAUCAUUGGGCGUAAAGGGUACGUAGGCGGCCUAGUAAGUUAGAAGUGAAGUAAUAUAGCUCAACUAUAUAAAGCUUUUAAAACUGUUAGGCUUGAGAGAUGAAAGGGAAAGUGGAAUUCCUAGUGUA
rnacentral:rRNA from 1 species